rnacentral:piRNA from 1 species
UAGACUUUCACCUUAUUAA